UUUUCACAACCGUCAAGAAGGACAGCAAGGCAGAUAAAAUGAGAGCUUUGUUGAUGAUAUUCCUGUUGGUCGCAAUCUUCUCGCAAGUCGCUGUAUCGGCUUACGACCUCGGAUGCCCGGAAGUCGACCACGGAAAGAUGUGCAUUUGGAGGAACGAUCAAUGUAACGAUGCCAAACCUUGUCCAGCGGGAGCUAAGUGUUGUCUCGACAGCCCAUCUUGCGGCACUAUAUGCGUCCAGUAGCUCGAAGUUGGAACAGAAUCCAUGAAAAUAAAUAUCUGAUUAUUUGAGGACUCAGAAG